CUACGGGGUGCAGCAGUCGCGAAACCUUUGCAAUAAGCGAAAGCUUGACAGGGCUACCCCGAGUGCCAUCCGCUGAGGAAGGCUUUUACCCAGUCUAGAAAGCUGGGGGAAUAAGGAGAGGGCAAGUCUGGUGUCAGCCGCCGCGGUAAUACCAGCUCUUCGAGUGGUGUGGAUGUUUAUUGGGCCUAAAGCAUCCGUAGCUGGCUAGGUCAGUCCCUUGUUAAAUCCACCGAAUUAAUCGUUGGAUCGCGGGGGAUACUGCUUGGCUAGGGGACGAGAGAGGCAGACGGUAUUUUCGGGGUAGGGGUGAAAUCCUAUAAUCCCGGGAAGACCACCAGUGGCGAAGGCUGUCUGCUAGAACGCGCCCGACGGUGAGGGAUGAAAGCUGGGGGAGCGAACCGGAUUAGAUACCCGGGUAGUCCCAGCUGUAAACGAUGCAGACUAGGUGUUUGGACGGCCACGUGCCGUUCUAGUGCCGCAGGGAAGCUGUUAAGUCUGCCGCCUGGGGAGUACGAUCGCAAGAUUGAAACUUAAAGGAAUUGGCGGGGGAGCACCACAAGGGGUGAAGCUUGCGGUUUAAUUGGAGUCAACGCCGGAAAUCUCACCGGGAGCGACAGCAGUAUGAAAGCCAGAUUGAAGGUCUUGCUAGACGAGCUGAGAGGAGGUGCA
rnacentral:rRNA from 1 species